AGUCGAACGAACUUCCGUUAUUGAUUAUGACGUACUUGUACUGAUUGAGAUUUUAACACGAAGUGAGUGGCGAACGGGUGAGUAACACGUGGGUAACCUGCCCAGAAGUAGGGGAUAACACCUGGAAACAGAUGCUAAUACCGUAUAACAGAGAAAACCGCAUGGUUUUCUUUUAAAAGAUGGCUCUGCUAUCACUUCUGGAUGGACCCGCGGCGUAUUAGCUAGUUGGUGAGGUAAAGGCUCACCAAGGCAGUGAUACGUAGCCGACCUGAGAGGGUAAUCGGCCACAUUGGGACUGAGACACGGCCCAGACUCCUACGGGAGGCAGCAGUAGGGAAUCUUCCACAAUGGACGCAAGUCUGAUGGAGCAACGCCGCGUGAGUGAAGAAGGGUUUCGGCUCGUAAAGCUCUGUUGUUAAAGAAGAACGUGGGUAAGAGUAACUGUUUACCCAGUGACGGUAUUUAACCAGAAAGCCACGGCUAACUACGUGCCAGCAGCCGCGGUAAUACGUAGGUGGCAAGCGUUAUCCGGAUUUAUUGGGCGUAAAGCGAGCGCAGGCGGUCUUUUAAGUCUAAUGUGAAAGCCUUCGGCUCAACCGAAGAAGUGCAUUGGAAACUGGGAGACUUGAGUGCAGAAGAGGACAGUGGAACUCCAUGUGUAGCGGUGAAAUGCGUAGAUAUAUGGAAGAACACCAGUGGCGAAGGCGGCUGUCUGGUCUGCAACUGACGCUGAGGCUCGAAAGCAUGGGUAGCGAACAGGAUUAGAUACCCUGGUAGUCCAUGCCGUAAACGAUGAUUACUAAGUGUUGGAGGGUUUCCGCCCUUCAGUGCUGCAGCUAACGCAUUAAGUAAUCCGCCUGGGGAGUACGACCGCAAGGUUGAAACUCAAAAGAAUUGACGGGGGCCCGCACAAGCGGUGGAGCAUGUGGUUUAAUUCGAAGCUACGCGAAGAACCUUACCAGGUCUUGACAUCUUCUGACAGUCUAAGAGAUUAGAGGUUCCCUUCGGGGACAGAAUGACAGGUGGUGCAUGGUUGUCGUCAGCUCGUGUCGUGAGAUGUUGGGUUAAGUCCCGCAACGAGCGCAACCCUUAUUACUAGUUGCCAGCAUUAAGUUGGGCACUCUAGUGAGACUGCCGGUGACAAACCGGAGGAAGGUGGGGACGACGUCAAAUCAUCAUGCCCCUUAUGACCUGGGCUACACACGUGCUACAAUGGAUGGUACAACGAGUCGCGAGACCGCGAGGUUAAGCUAAUCUCUUAAAACCAUUCUCAGUUCGGACUGUAGGCUGCAACUCGCCUACACGAAGUCGGAAUCGCUAGUAAUCGCGGAUCAGCAUGCCGCGGUGAAUACGUUCCCGGGCCUUGUACACACCGCCCGUCACACCAUGAGAGUUUGUAACACCCAAAGCCGGGGGGUAA
rnacentral:rRNA from 1 species